CCUUUUAGUAUGAAAGAAGCCUGAAAUCUGAUUUGUAUAGAUGGCUCUCUAAGACAUUGUCCACCCUCUUCUUGGACUCCAGGCUUUGCAAAUAUUGCCAUUCCUCAUCCUAACACCUCGUCCCUUGAUUUACUGGCCUGUUGUGGGUAAGCAGAAUGGGCUUGGACUCUUUCCAUCACAGCUUCAGAUUCUACAGCAGAGACAGAAAGAUCUAAUUUUCAAGGAUUAAAAAUGUCUGAUGCCUUGGCUAUAUGGCAGUGUUUCCCAUGGACAGAGAUGAUGUAUUCCCAACCAGAUUUGCAAAGUAUUCCACUAACUGCCUCAUAACUGUCAUAUCUAUGGAAAAAUCUCAGCAUGCCUCAGCAUCAAGAAAGCUCUUGAUACAUACAUCACAACACAACAUUGGGAGGAAAAAAAAUAUGUAUACAUGUGUGUGUAACUUGGUCCCCAUGCUGUACAGUGGAAAAAAAAUAAAUAAAUAAAAGAAAGCUCUCGAAUGUUGAAAUACACAAAAGUCUAUUUUAGAUCUCUGUGUCUCAUCUGAGUUCUGCUUAGGUAAACCCAGUUAGAUUUAAUGAUGCUGUCAUGCAUUUGUUAUUAAGUUAUAUUAAUAUGGGUCAAUCAGACCCUUGAGAUAUGUUUGCCCCUCUAGGUUCCCUGCCUAGAUUAGAUGCCCAGGCAAUUUCUGUCUAGCUCCAAAGCCAGAGUUGUCCACAACAGCCUCUUGCCUUCAUAAUGUCACUUAUCUGGAAGUCUAAGCUUAAGAAUGAGAAACAGAAUUUGUGUGGUCCUAUCUGAUACUGAAAUCUCACCUUUGCCUGUAUCCCUGGUCUUGCCUCCUGGAUCUCCCACUUUUAAAAAAAAGUCAUGAUUUUUUAAGAUCUUCCUCUGUUCCUACUAGAAUUGUCUGGAUGGGGUAACUUCUCCGGGAAUGUGUAGGGUAAGGUAGGGAUGGGGGAGGAACUGAGGUGUCUAUAUUCAAAAAUAACAUGUUCUAGACAGAGAAGACGCAUUGUGAUCCAUCCCAAUACAAGAAUAGUACCAUAUGUAAACAUUCUUAAAUAUUUUAUGUUAUAAAUAAAAUAAGAGAAUGAUAUACAGGUUGAUAUCUUCUAUAAUUGGGGAAACACAUCCUUUGUGCCAAGAACUGUAUCAUGCACUAGAGACAAAGGGUUAAAAGACACAAUCCUUAUUCUGAAGGAGCUCACAGCACUGUGAGGAACCAACUAGAGAGCAGUGCAAGAGCUAUGAGAGGACAGCAUUAAACGAGACGGAGCAGAUGGAAUGGAUGCCUAGCUCAGACUGUAAACAGCUGGAAAACUUCCUGGAGAAGGUGACCUAUCAGGUGAAUUUUAAAGGAACUGAAUUUCAGGCAGACGAAAUAGCACAACAGCAGUUUCAAAGCUGUGGAGAAACAGCCCAUGUACGGCCCUGCAAGUUUUCCAGCAAAGGUCUUAAUGGUCAGUGGCAGGAGAUGGAGAUGAAGGGGUUAAGAGGGCCGCUUGCUUAAGGCUGUCAGACGUCUUGGUAAGGAUUCUGGAUUCUGUCCUAGGCUAUGGGGAGUUACUGCAGGAUUUUAAGUAGUCAAGGGGAAUGAUGGGAUUUCCAUUUUAGAAUGCGUUCUCUGGCUACAUCCACGUACCUGGGGAAGGAUGCAGGGGACACACAGAUACAGGCAGACUAGAGGGCAGUUGUGGCCAUUCAGGAAAGAAAUGAUGAGGGUCUUAUCUUACCCUGGAGUAAGAUAGUACAAAGGUAAAAGAGGCCAAAUACGACUGCUGGUUACACGGCUGAGGAGAUGGGCAUAAGGGAAAGAGUGCUGGCUCGCCAGGAUGUCCCAGGUUUCUGGCUUUGGCAACCAGGUAAAAGGUGAUGAUGUUCACAGAAAUGGGGAGCAACAGUGGGAGGGGAGAGUUGGCUGAAGGUAGAUACAACUACCCCGAGUUACCUACCACAUGUGCAGGUGGAUGGGCAGGACCAGGACUGGGGUGAGGGCAACAGGAUGCAAAUAGGAAGGGGCAGGAUAAACACUAUGUUGAUGUAAAGUAAUUACAUCAAAAUUAAGGCAGAGGGAGUUCCCUUCGUGGCUCAGGGGUUAACGAACCCAACUAGGAUCCAUGAAGAUGCAGGUGUGAUCCCUGACCUCGAUCAGGGG